rnacentral:rRNA from 1 species
AGUAAUGUAUGGGGAUCUGCCUGAUGGCGGGGGAUAACUACUGGAAACGGUAGCUAAUACCGCAUAAUGUCUGCGGACCAAAGCGGGGGACCUCCGGGCCUCGCGCCAUCAGAUGAACCCAUAUGGGAUUAGCUUGUAGGUAAGGUAACGGCUUACCUGGCGACGAUCCCUAGCUGGUCUGAGAGGAUGAUCAGCCACACUGGGACUGAGACACGGCCCAG